CCUACGGGAGGCAGCAGUGAGGAAUAUUGGUCAAUGGGCGCGAGCCUGAACCAGCCAAGUAGCGUGAAGGAUGACUGCCCUACGGGUUGUAAACUUCUUUUAUAAAGGAAUAAAAUGAGGCACGUGUGCCUUUUUGUAUGUACUUUAUGAAAAAGCAUCGGCUAACUCCGUGCCAGCAGCCGCGGUAAGACGGAGGAUGCGAGCGUUAUCCGGAUUGAUUGGGGUUAAAGGGGGCGUAGGCGGGCAUUUAAGCCGGCGGUAAAAUGUCGGGGCUCAAUCCCGGACUGCCGUCGGAACUGGGUGCCUUGAGUGAGCGAGAGGUAAGCGGAAUGCGGGGUGUAGCGGUGAAAUGCAUAGAUAUCCCGCAGAACCCCGAUUGCGAAGGCAGCAUACCGGGGUCCUACUGACGCUGAGGCACGAAAGUGCGGGUAUCAAACAGGAUUAGAUACCCCAGUAGUC
rnacentral:rRNA from 1 species